AACGAACGCUGGCGGCAGGCCUAAUACAUGCAAGUCGAACGAUGCAGCAAUGCAUAGUGGCGCACGGGUGAGUAACGCGUGGGAAUGUGCCCUUGGGUGCGGAAUAGCUACUGGAAACGGUAAUUAAUACCGCAUAAUAUCUACGGAUCAAAGAUUUAUCGCCCAAGGAUCAGCCCGCGUCUGAUUAGCUAGUUGGUGGGGUAAUGGCCUACCAAGGCGACGAUCAGUAGCUGGUCUGAGAGGAUGAUCAGCCACACUGGGACUGAGACACGGCCCAGACUCCUACGGGAGGCAGCAGUGGGGAAUAUUGGACAAUGGGCGAAAGCCUGAUCCAGCAAUGCCGCGUGAGUGAUGAAGGCCUUAGGGUUGUAAAGCUCUUUUACCAGGGAUGAUAAUGACAGUACCUGGAGAAUAAGCUCCGGCUAACUCCGUG
rnacentral:rRNA from 1 species